CAAUACAGUCAUCGAGUGCCUUAUCGAGACCAUGUCUUCCCAAGAUCUUUUUCUUCAGAUGUUGAUACAUAUUGGCAUCUCUUGAUCCAUCAAGAGUCCAUGUAAAUCCGGAAUGAACACGCAAAGGCAUAAUUCACCAUAUCCCUUCCAAAUCAAGUAGAGUCCAUGUGCGUUUCAAUACAUUUAGCAAACGCAUGCUCCUGUGGUUUGGAGCCACUUGAUUCGGAUGAAUGAAGUCUAUUUAAGACCUUCAUGUAUAUCUCUGAUCCCAUAGAGAUGUUAUUAUGACCACAUUCAUAGGCUGCAUGUUCAGUUAUUCAGAAACUACCAAACUGACAAAGUAGUGGAGUGCAAUGACAUCCAUUACGAGAGCAUAUCUCAUCGUAGUCGAUCCCAGUGCGUGUUAGUGAAAAACCUUGCGCCAUAAGGUGAGUCUAAGCUCUUGUUCUCACUACGCUAUCUAACAAAGGUAUAGUUGAUAGGGUUUAGCUUGCGGUGUCGGCAUCACCUGCCCAAGGACCUAUCUCUUUGUUAAUGCUGGAUCGCAUCUUUCCAUUAGGCCAAUCAACUAAGUUGAUAUCCAUCAACGAAUGGUGGUUCGAUAGUAGACUCAUUAUCUCACGUCCUCAUGUACACUAGUGUAAUACUUGUAGAGAUCUCUAUAUGGAUUGGAUUUGACAUUGAGGCGUCCCCCAACGAUAAUCACAAUUCAGACUUCAUGAGACAGAUAUGAGUAUCACUGAUCAAUGGAUCAGGUUGUGCCAAGCUCGCUUUCUUCCUAGUGCGAGAAAGUAUCGAACCUAAGGGCCUCCCUCAUUUUAGGGAGCCACACGGCCUUGUGACACCAAUUUUUGCCACUAUAUGGCGUCAUCAUAUCACCAUCCAUGGUGAUGGCGCCAAGACCAACUUCUUUUGGUCGCGCCAUGUCCUUUUGUAGGACAUCAAUCCUUGUAGACAUAUUUGCAGCAUGUGAUCUCGUCACUUUAACACUUUAAGCAUUUGGGAUCAAGAUGAGACUUAGUGGGGACAAACUACGACAAUUCACGUCGUUCCACUUGAACACUUGUGUUCUUAUCUCCCCCUAACGGCGGGAAUAUUGUCUCAUCAAAGUGACAAUCCGCAAUUUAGCGGUGAAUGAGAUCGCCUGACAAGGUUCCUACAUAUGCGGAUUAUAGGUGGAGGUUCAUAUCCAACCUAAACUUAUUCAUCUCAAAAUGACCCAUCAUUGUA
rnacentral:lncRNA from 1 species